GCUUGGGGCACAUGUGGCUUUUCGACUUGGAUCCAACGGGUUGUAGGAAGAACUCUUUGUCUGAAAUCAUCAUAAGAUCACGAGUUUUUUAAUGUUGGUACCAGUCACUGCGCCGAUAUCUGUGGUAGCAGCGCCAGGGAGUGACAUUACCAUAUCUUGUGUGUUUUCAUCUAAUAAAGACCUGAAUCUGUAUAACCUGAUCAUCAACUGGCAGAAAAAUACUGAGGAAAGUAGGAGAGUUUAUUUUUAGGAAUGCCACGGACAAUUGUUAUCCCCAUUCUAUUUGUACUAAGGUGGUGCACAGCUUCUACAAUGGGAAAAAGAGACUGGUCAGGCAGAGUGCUAAAGGAUGCUGUCAUCUCUUUGAGGAGCAGCUUGCUGAGGGCAACGCCUCUCUCAGAUUGACCAGUGUCCAACCCAGUGACAAGGGAAUAUAUAAGCGUAUUGUCACUAAUGAAGUGGAAACCAUGCAGACGGAUACAGAGCUGAUAGUUUCGGGUAAUUUAUUUAGUUUUACUGAAAUUGUGUAAUUGUUGUGUAAUUGGACACAACUCUUUCUCAAGAUAAGUUGCACAGCAUCCACGAACCAUCGACCAGCUUCCUCGUCUCAACGGCAAACUGUAUUAUAGCUCAGCUGUGAGUUUACUGAGGUGGGCUGGUAACUUGUGAUCAGUAGAAGUCAUACCUUCUAGUGUGAGUUAAUGUUUAAAAAAAAGGGAGGGUUUCAUGUACUCGUACUCUUUACUCCUUCUCUUUCUUGCAGACUGCUGUAGGGUAGCAGAGAGGGACAGGAUGCUGUGUUUCCCCCUGGGACUAGUGUGUGGAGUGUUGUGGUGGUACUGGUGCUCAUGAGCUUAACACUGAAAGUUGAAAACCUUAAUCUUUAGGUAACAGAGGUACCUAAAGGUACGGUAUUCAGGCUCAAUCUGUGAAUGUUUACAUUACAAUAAAUUGUGAAAUCCAUAUGACUUGACUAUUCAAGAAACACAGCACAGUACUCUAAUUCGUGUGUGUACAUAUGCCUUUACGCCAAAUAAAUAUUGUUGUAGCAUUGUAUUUUAUAUUUUGAAUGAAUCUUUGUACUGUUUGUAUAUGAUGGAAGCAGGUGAUUUGACUGCCUGAGUGAAAUAACUAUAAUCAAAACGAUUAAUUGAUGAGAAAUGGAUAUGCAUUUGGUGUAUUGCAAAAAAGAAACAAAUUGAUUUAUUAAAAUGAUUUGUUGCUAAUGCAAGCAAGUAGGCAUACUAUACAUAUAGUCACAAGUAUCUGGUAAAGAGCAAGGCUUGGCCUAUAUACCACUCUGAAUUAAUGUUGUCCUGAGAAUAUCAGGAUUCUGCUACAAAAGAAAUUUACUUUGAGUUAUGACUAAUUAAUUAUGAAAAGCAAGUCAUGAUCAUGUGACCCAACUUCUGGAAUAUUUGUGAGUAUAAGUGAGUUUUUGGUUAUAUAACAGUUGGCCUACACUAAUGGAAAUCAAUUUACUGUAAUUGGCCAUUGUAAAUUGUAUUUCAAUAAGUGGAUGCUAUAUUGAGUGUAAUCAAUGAGAGCGGUAACAGUUUUCAGGACAGGUACAAAGGAUAUUUGACUACUGAAUAUCACAUCCGCGCAAGAAUUGUGUAUUCAUUCAUGUCACAAUAUUACCCUCUUAAAACUCUUAACAAUAACCUAAAUACCUGAUAAUACUUAUUUAGCAAAUCUAAUGAAAAUGGCAGUCAUUUAAAGAAUAAAACAUUUUUCUAAUGCACAGUUUCUAACGUUCACCAUGAAUUAAACUAACACGGAAGUCUGUUUAUAAAAUAAGACAGGGAUUUCCCGUACAUUGUAUUUGUAUAGUAUCUUGUGUUGUCACGCACCAAGGAGAGGGGCUUUCGUCUUCUUUACGCAGUAUACACACCCUGAGUUUAUUGAACAUGUUAUCGUUACAAAAGAUCAGCUGGCUUAUGUACUUUUGAUUAAAAGUUUAUGUAGUUCAACUGAACAAUUAUUUAGCUUAGCUUCAAUUGUGUUGGCACACACCGAGGAGAGGGGCCCCUCGUCUUACUUUACGUUAGAGUUUUCAAUACAUUGAGUAUUCAAUCUAACUUUAUUGACAAUUAUGUUCAUUAUACCACUCAGAAAUGAUUUUGUCCUGAGAAUAUCAGGAUUCUGCUACAAAAUAAAUUAACUUUGAGUUAUGACAAUAAUUAAUUAUGAAAAGCAAGUUUUGAUCAUGUGACCCAACUUCUAGAAUAUUUUAAGUGAGUUUUUGGUAGAACAAGUGUACAGUAUACACACCCUGAGUUUAUUGAACAUCAGGUGGCCUAAUUAAAUGCUUAGACUAUAAUGAGUAUGAGUAUUCAAGUUAACUUUAUUGACAAUUAUGUCACCAAAAGGUUUUUGUCACUGUACAUUUACAUUUAGUCAUUUGGCAGACGCUCUUAUC